rnacentral:lncRNA from 1 species
ACCCCACACACCUGCUGCCCGCCGCCGGCCGAGGGGCCCAGGGGGGCCUCACAGACUGAGAAAUCCCAGGGCGCAGCUCUCCGCUCCGCCCCGCCUCGCCCUCCGCCCGCUCUCCUCUUCUUUGUCUUCCUUCUGCUGCGCUUCAGCUCCUCUCCCCCUCCCCCGGCGGCGGCAGCGUGGAACCCAUGGGAGGAACCCAGUGCCCAGAGGGUCCCAGCUUCCAGCUGUUACCUUCCUACAGCUCAGAGAGGUUGCAGGACUUACUGGAAGACACCCAGCAGUCCCUCCUGGAGGCUCCGUUCCCCAGCGUGCUCUGCCACGAAGGAUCCCAGGAGGGGAGCAGCUGCCUCCCCAAGGGGCGCAUCAGUGCCUGAGGGGCACCCGGCGAGACGGCACAGGUGCUGGGGAGGGACCAGGCCCUGGGGGUGACCAUGAGCAGAGACACCCCUGUGUACCCAGACGCAGACGCCAUGGGCUACCAGUCAUGGGAGGGGAGAUGUUUUUAAACAAUUUAACAUGUUUUUUCUUUAAUGCAUUAAAGUGCUGCU